rnacentral:rRNA from 1 species
UACAGAGGUCUCAAGCGUUGUUCGGAUUCAUUGGGCGUAAAGGGUGCGUAGGUGGCAUGGUAAGUCGGAUGUGAAAUCCCGGGGCUUAACCCCGGAACUGCAUUCGAUACUGCCAGGCUAGAGUACUGGAGAGGAGAUUGGAAUUUACGGUGUAGCAGUGAAAUGCGUAGAUAUCGUAAGGAAGACCAGUGGCGAAGGCGGCUCACUGGACCGGUACUGACGCUGAUGCGCGAAAGCGUGGGGAGCAAACAGG